rnacentral:sRNA from 1 species
ACCACCACUAUCACUGGCGUAUCGGUGGUGAACCCAGCCUCUUUUAGCCAGUCGUUUUUAAGGUGCAGGCUGGGGGGCGGCUGUGAUAUUUAGUCAUUUUAGUGGCGCGUUGCUCAUGGCGAAUACUG